rnacentral:misc_RNA from 1 species
AGUGAGUUGUUUAAUGUUGACAUGCUACCCUUAUUUGAGCUGCACACCUUACUUGCAUGAUGUGUUUUGCAUUUAUCAUAUGGUUGUGGUAUCUUUUUCCAUCUGUGUAGUCAUUUGAGGGCUUUACAUUGUUCUUACCGUAGAGGAAUUUUUGUCUUAAUUGAAGCUAUAAAGAAGGAUCAUUAGAUAAAAUUUCAUGCCCUAUUUUAUAUGAACCUAUUAUCUUGCUUGGAGCUGAAAACUAGUGAGUAAUGCUUUU